GUGUACUGAUUAAUAAAGAUACUUGUAUAAAACUAGAUAUCACUGGAAUCAGAAUGUUCUCUAGUUUAUAAUGGAAUAAAAAAAGUGUACUUUUAAUAGUAUAAAAAGUUUUAUCAAGAGAAACUGGGAAAAACAUUGCCUAAUUUAAGCUUAAAAAACCUGAAAUCAGGUCAUGUGCACACCCCUGAAGACAUGAUACCUGCACAUUUUUCAUAAUCAAAGUUGUAUGAAUUUCAUAGAUUUUUACCUGGUCUUUCAAAAAAUUCAUGCUGCAGGGUACGUUCGCCUGCUCCGAAAAGAGCUAUAGUGGCUGCAAAUAAGUUUUCAAUUUUCACUGCCAAAAAAACAGACUGUUUACAGUGUUGUCUCCCCUCAAAACAUGUAUAUUUAAUCUAUUUUUUUAAAUUAUUUUAAUCAUUCAACCUGC
rnacentral:lncRNA from 1 species